rnacentral:rRNA from 1 species
GGACCCGCACAAGUAGUGGAGCAUGUGGUUUAAUUCGAAGAUACGCGCAGAACCUUACCAACACUUGACAUGUUCGUCGCGACUUUAAGAGAUUAAAGUUUUCGGUUCGGCCGGACGAAACACAGGUGCUGCAUGGCUGUCGUCAGCUCGUGUCGUGAGAUGUUGGUUAAGUCCCGCAACGAGCGCAACCCUCACUUUUAGUUGCCAUCAUUUAGUUGGGCACUCUAUGGAAACUGCCCGUGAUAAGCGGGAGGAAGGUGUGGAUGACGUCAAGUCCUCAUGGCCCUUACGGGUUGGGCUACACACGUGCUACAAUGGUAGUGACAAUGGGUUAAUCCCAAAAAGCUAUCUC